rnacentral:rRNA from 1 species
UACGUAGGGACCGAGCGUUGUCCGGAAUCAUUGGGCGUAAAGAGCGUGUAGGCGGUCCGGUAAGUCCGCUGUGAAAGUCGGGGGCUCAACCCUCGAAUGCCGGUGGAUACUGUCGGGCUAGAGUGCGGAAGAGGCGAGUGGAAUUCCUGGUGUAGCGGUGAAAUGCGCAGAUAUCAGGAGGAACACCUAUUGCGAAGGCAGCUCGCUGGGACGCAACUGACGCUGAGACGCGAAAGCGUGGGGAGCAAACAGG